rnacentral:lncRNA from 1 species
AGGCUACAAAUGCCUCAAGUAAGCUGCUGGCCUAAAGAGUAUGAGAGAUGUGUGCAGCAGAGAUUAAUGAACCCAUAGCCUGGAACCAAGCCCAGCCAAGAUCAGCCAACCUUAGCUGACCCCAGGAUGUGUGAGAAGAUCUGAGAAGUGCAUGUCCGUGGAUGCCAUGGUUCCUCCGAGGAAAUGUCUUCUAAGAGAGCAGCAUGGAUGGGAAGUAGAAGAAGAGAAGUCGGUAAGUUCACAUGAGACCUGGUUUCCGACCCUCAUUCAGCAUUAGUUUAUGGUGACAGUCUCUUAACCUCUCUGGGUCUCAGUUUUCUCAACUAAGAAGGUGAAGGGGACUCUGAAAUCUAGCAUAUAUUUGAUUCUAGAUAGCAAGAAUUCUUAUUCAGAAAUCCCCUGGAAUGAGAAUGGUAUUAAGAAUAUGGAUUGCCUGAGUUUGAAAUCUGGCUUUAGCCUUGACUAAUUGUGUAAUCUUGUGUGAAUUAUAAAAUCUCUCUGGACCUUGGUUUCCUCAUCUUUAAAAUGGGACUAAUAAUAGUGCCUACCUAAUAGGGUUGAAAAUCCAAAGAGAAGAAAGCGUUUAGAAUGAUGCCUGUCACAUAGUGAAUGCUCAGCAAAUGCUAGUUCUAACUCCCAUCCCCUACCUACACAUGGUCCCACCUACAAAUACUCUUGAAAGGGCCUGGAGCUUAGAGUGAAAAUUUAAGGGGCAUAAAGGCCCAGGUGAGGCUCGGCAGCAACUAUGUCUAAGGAGAGACUUUUGCCCUGCUUUUUGUGUAUCCUCAUUUCUGAGAAAGGGUAAAAAGCAUUUUUCUUCCAGAGUACAAUUUGUGUUGCUUCCGGAUUGCCUAGUAACAAAAGCCUCUCCUCAUUCUUUUUCUGAUCUGAUUGUUUUCACCUCAACAGUUUUUUUACUUGAAGGUUUUAAAAAAUUGUUAAUUGAGUUCUGCUCCCCUGACCGCUUGAAGUCACUACAUCUUAAACAAAACAAGCCCAUAAUAUCACCUGUUACAACCUGCUCAGAGUCAUUAACUUUCUAUUCUUUUAUUUUUCGGAUGCUUGACAACCAGGCUUUCUUUGCUUCGACCAUAAUGAGGUGUCACCCUUAAGUUAGCCUCACAGCCUAGGGGGUCUGGCCCAUUUCUUCUCAAAGCCAGGGUUCCCACACUUUCAGGCCUUUGAUGAAAAGGAAAGAGAAUGUGCUUCGGGAAAUGAUUCCAAUGGUACAGAACCCGAAGAGCAAGACUGUUGUCGAUCAUAAUCAUCAAAAGGAGAGUUUACAACGGGAGGAAGAGAAAUGGAUAUUUUUGAAUGACUGAAGUAAGGUCUUUCUAAUCCCAUAGAACAAUUUAGCUGUUCAUUUUGAAAGGCGGCGUCCUCACUGUUGGCAAAGGGAUGCAGAAGUGGAAUUAGAACAGGGGUAGGCUGUGUGAGAGGGAAAUGGAAAACAGUGCAUCCAGCCUUGCUCUGAUCCUACCAGUAGCCUCUUUCCCAGGAGAUCAGAAACAGGGGCGUGUUCAUUGUUGUCAAGAGUCAUCUUGAAGCCUAGCAGUGUUUUCAGCAAAAUGGUGCAUAAUUUGCUUCAUGUUUCCAUGAGGAUGUUUCAUCUUGUUUAUUGAAAGAGGAAGUACAGUUAAGUCCUGUCACCGCUGGGAACCGGUGAGUUUCUUCUUCUCUCUACAUCCUAAAUUACUUUGAUAUUAAAGAAAUGUGACUGUAGACAUGAGAUAGGAACUGAGCAUCCUGUUUAUUUCCCUAGAGGCAAAAAACCCCCAAGAAACAAAAAAACAAAAAACACAAGCUACCAUUGCCGAGGAAGAAACAGAAACCAUAGCUGCUGGACUCUCCGUGUUUUUUCCCACUAGUUUUUCAGCCCCCUAAUUACUUAUCCCUAGUUCUUACUUACUUGUAUCUCAGUACGCCUUUUUUCUCUCUCCUAUUUGCCCCUUUCACCCCCCAGAACUCUGAGGUAUAACUGUCUCUCUAGUUCUACCCUUUGUCCCCUGAGAGGCAUAGCAGUCUAGCGGUCAAGCACUCAGUGACUGGAACACAUUUAUUACCCAUGUAAACUCAGGCCAGU